rnacentral:rRNA from 1 species
ACGAGCGGCGAACGGGUGAGUAACACGUGAGUAAUCUGCCCUCCACUUCGGAAUAACCCUGGAAACCGGGGCUAAUACCGAAUACCACCAUCGAUGGCAUCUUCGAUGGUUGAAAGCUCCGGCGGUGAUGGAUGAACUCGCGGCCUAUCAGCUUGUUGGUGAGGUAACGGCUCACCAAGGCAACACGGGUAGCCGGCCUGAGAGGGUGACCGGCCACACUGGGACUGAGACACGGCCCAGACUCCUACGGGAGGCAGCAGUGGGGAAUAUUGGACAAUGGGCGAAAGCCUGAUCCAAGCAACGCCGCGUGAGGGAUGACGGCCUUCGGGUUGUAAACCUCUUUCAGCAGGGACGAAGCGCAAGUGACGGUACCUGCAGAAGAAGCACCGGCCAACUACGUGCCAGCAGCCGC